rnacentral:misc_RNA from 1 species
AGGCAGACUCGAAGCAAAAGCCCCAAGAUGGGAAGUUUUUGUUGGUGGGGUGAAGUGAACAUAGGAAGGAAUAGUCUUGCUGAGAUUGGAGGGUCUUGUGAAAUGGUGAUGUCUUUGGAUGAGACUCCGGUUUCUGGGUCUUGGGGUGAUGGGGGCACCAGUGGAGAUUCGGCCAGUCUCUGGAUUGAUCCAUCUUGUAAACACGAAUGUAAGGGAGAAGCUCCCGGUCUAUUUCCUUGCCACUGGAAUCCAUAUGCAGAAGAGGAGAUAAGGAAACUAAGAGAGAACAAAUUU